AUACGUAGGGUGCGAGCGUUGUCCGGAAUUACUGGGCGUAAAGAGCUCGUAGGUGGUUUGUCGCGUCGUCUGUGAAAUUCCGGGGCUUAACUCCGGGCGUGCAGGCGAUACGGGCAUAACUUGAGUACUGUAGGGGAGACUGGAAUUCCUGGUGUAGCGGUGAAAUGCGCAGAUAUCAGGAGGAACACCGGUGGCGAAGGCGGGUCUCUGGGCAGUACCUGACGCUGAGGAGCGAAAGCAUGGGUAGCGAACAGGAUUAGAUACCCUGGUAGUCCAUGCCGUAAAUGGUGGGCGCUAGGUGUAGGGGUCUUCCACGACUUCUGUGCCGUAGCUAACGCAUUAAGCGCCCCGCCUGGGGAGUACGGCCGCAAGGCUAAAACUCAAAGGAAUUGACGGGG
rnacentral:rRNA from 1 species